CGUUCUUCACUGGCUAGCUUUAGUGCUUCACUCGGGUAAAGCUGCCAGUUGAAGAGCUGU
rnacentral:pre_miRNA from 1 species